GACGAACGCUGGCGGCGUGCUUAACACAUGCAAGUCGAACGGAAAGGCCCUGCUUUUGUGGGGUGCUCGAGUGGCGAACGGGUGAGUAACACGUGAGUAACCUGCCCUUGACUUUGGGAUAACUUCAGGAAACUGGGGCUAAUACCGGAUAGGAGCUCCUGCUGCAUGGUGGGGGUUGGAAAGUUUCGGCGGUUGGGGAUGGACUCGCGGCUUAUCAGCUUGUUGGUGGGGUAGUGGCUUACCAAGGCUUUGACGGGUAGCCGGCCUGAGAGGGUGACCGGCCGGCGUGGGACGAGGAGCCGGCGCAGGCGGGGAGGGGAGGGGGCGGGGGGAAGGAGGGAGGAGGGGGAGGGGACCGGGGGACGCAGCGGGGGGUGGGGGGGGAGGGCCGUCGGGUUGUACAGGUUGUUCGCGUGAGGCGAGGAGGGGGUGAGGGGAAUGGAAAAAGAAGGACGGGAAAAGUACGUGCGAGAAGGAGUGGUAAUACG
rnacentral:rRNA from 1 species